UAAGAGAUAGGCAAACAGGUAUACCACAAAACUUUGAAUUUUGUAUUGAGAGUUCGAGACUCUCUCUCUUAU
rnacentral:tRNA from 1 species